rnacentral:rRNA from 1 species
UGGGAAUCUUGCACAAUGGGCGAAAGCCUGAUGCAGCAACGCCGCGUGCGGGAAGACAGCCCUAGGGUUGUAAACCGCUUUCAGCAGGGAAGAAACUGACGGUACCUGCAGAAGAAGGUGCGGCCAACUACGUGCCAGCAGCCGCGGUGACACGUAGGCACCAAGCGUUAUCCGGAUUUAUUGGGCGUAAAGAGCUCGUAGGCGGUUCGGUAAGUCGGGUGUGAAAUCCAAGGCUCAACCUUGGGACGCCACCCGAUACUGCUGUGACUCGAGUGCAGUAGGGGGAGCAGGGAAUUCCUGGUGUAGCGGUGAAAUGCGCAGAUAUCAGGAGGAACACCAGUGGCGAAGGCGCUGCUCUGGGCUGUAACUGACGCUGAGGAGCGAAAGCAUGGGUAGCAAAACAGGAUUAGAUACCCUGGUAGUCCACACCGUAAACGAUGAAUGCCAGUCGUC